rnacentral:rRNA from 1 species
CCUACGGGUGGCUGCAGUGGGGAAUAUUGGACAAUGGGGGCAACCCUGAUCCAGCCAUGCCGCGUGUGUGAAGAAGGCCCUCGGGUUGUAAAGCACUUUCAGUGAGGAAGAACGCCUGGUGGUUAAUACCCAUCAGGAAAGACAUCACUCACAGAAGAAGCACCGGCUAACUCCGUGCCAGCAGCCGCGGUAAUACGGAGGGUGCGAGCGUUAAUCGGAAUUACUGGGCGUAAAGCGCGCGUAGGUGGCUUGAUAAGCCGGUUGUGAAAGCCCCGGGCUCAACCUGGGAACGGCAUCCGGAACUGUCAAGCUAGAGUGCAGGAGAGGAAGGUAGAAUUCCCGGUGUAGCGGUGAAAUGCGUAGAGAUCGGGAGGAAUACCAGUGGCGAAGGCGGCCUUCUGGACUGACACUGACACUGUGGUGCGAAAGCGUGGGUAGCAAACAGGAUUAGAUACCCUAGUAGUC